rnacentral:tRNA from 1 species
GUCACGAUAGCUCAAGUGGUAGAGCAGCGGCGUUUUUAGCCGAAGGUCGUGGGUUCGAAUCCCACUCUUGACA